UUGAAAGAACAAAAUGGCAGCUUAAGCAGUCGGGGAACCACUUUGGAAGGAUUGCCGUUGAGGCUCUGCACUGAGCUGAAAUUCCCGUGGUGAAGAUGCUGGAAGCAGAUCUGGUUUCAAAAAUGCUUCGGGCUGUUCUGCAAUCUCAAAAGAAUGGAAUAGCAUUAUCCCGGCUCCAAGGAGAGUACAGAUCCCUAACUGGAGACUGGAUUCCUUUCAAGCAAUUGGGCUAUCCUACACUAGAAGCCUAUCUGAGAAGUGUGCCAGCAGUUAUCAGGAUAGAGACUAGUAGGUCUGGAGAGAUAACCUGCUAUGCCGUGGCCUGCACAGAAACUGCAAGAAUUGCUCAGCUUGUGGCUCGACAGAGGAGUUCUAAAAGGAAAACUGGUCGGCAAGUUAAUUGUCAGAUGAGAGUAAAGAAAACCAUGCCGUUUUUUCUAGAUGGAAAACCAAAAGCAACCCUCAGACAACCAGGAUUUUCUUCAGAUUUUUCUGUCAGCAAAAAACCUAAUUCAACACUAUUAAGAAACAAAGGAAACUCUCUUGGAGUUAAAUCUGAUGCUGAAAUGCUGCCUUACACAUUACAAACAGCUAUUGGAAAUGAAGUAUUCAAAGAUGUUCCAGUGCAGAGUCAUGUGACCAUGUCUACCAACAGCAGGUUUAGCCCAAAGGCAUCCCUUCCUCCACCUUUUCAGAUGCAUCUCUCAAGAACCUGUACUAAGGAAAUGAGUGAUAAUUUAAAUCAGGCUGUUGAAAAAUCAAAUGUCACGCCUCCUGCCUCUCACACUUAUAAAAUGGAUGAGGUUCAAAACCGCAUAAAGGAAAUGCUAAACAAGUAUAGCAAUGGCAUUUGGAUAUCUAAGCUUCCACAUUUUUACAAAGAAUUAUAUAAAGAAGAACUAAAUCAAGGAAUUUUACAACAAUUUGAACACUGGCCUCAUAUUUGCACG